CACUGAAUCUAGCCGGGAAAACAGCCGGAGUUGGUCGCCGAAGGCCGUAACAGGUUUGAAUUGGUUAUGA